CUCGUAGGCGGCUCGUCGCGUCCGGUGUGAAAGUCCAUCGCUUAACGGUGGAUCUGCGCCGGGUACGGGCGGGCUGGAGUGCGGUAGGGGAGACUGGAAUUCCCGGUGUAACGGUGGAAUGUGUAGAUAUCGGGAAGAACACCGAUGGCGAAGGCAGGUCUCGGGGCCGUCACUGACGCUGAGGAGCGAAAGCGUGGGGAGCGAACA
rnacentral:rRNA from 1 species